CCUACGGGAGGCAGCAGUAGGGAAUCUUCCGCAAUGGACGAAAGUCUGACGGAGCAACGCCGCGUGAGUGAUGAAGGUUUUCGGAUCGUAAAGCUCUGUUGUUAGGGAAGAACAAGUGCCGUUCGAAUAGGGCGGCACCUUGACGGUACCUAACCAGAAAGCCCCGGCUAACUACGUGCCAGCAGCCGCGGUAAUACGUAGGGGGCAAGCGUUGUCCGGAAUUAUUGGGCGUAAAGCGCGCGCAGGCGGUCCUUUAAGUCUGAUGUGAAAGCCCACGGCUUAACCGUGGAGGGUCAUUGGAAACUGGAGGACUUGAGUACAGAAGAGGAGAGUGGAAUUCCACGUGUAGCGGUGAAAUGCGUAGAGAUGUGGAGGAACACCAGUGGCGAAGGCGACUCUCUGGUCUGUAACUGACGCUGAGGCGCGAAAGCGUGGGGAGCGAACAGGAUUAGAUACCCUGGUAGUCCACGCCGUAAACGAUGAGUGCUGGGUGUUAGGGGGUUUGCGCCCCUUAGUGCUGAAGUUAACGCAUUAAGCACUCCGCCUGGGGAGUACCGCCGCAAGGCUAAACUCAAAUGAAUUGACGG
rnacentral:rRNA from 1 species